rnacentral:rRNA from 1 species
UUGUACACACCGCCCGUCACACCAUGAGAGUUUGUAACACCCAAAGCCGGUGAGGUAACCCGCAAGGGAACCAGCCGUCUAAGGUGGGACAGAUGAUUAGGGUGAAGUCGUAACAAGGUAGCCGUAGGAGAACCUGCGGCUGGAUCACCUCCUUUCU